GUUAUAGGGUCAAGCGAACAAGUGCAUGUGGUGGAUGCCUUGGCGAUCACAGGCGAUGAAGGACGCGGUAGCCUGCGAAAAGCUACGGGGAGCUGGCAAACGAGCUUUGAUCCGUAGAUGUCCGAAUGGGGAAACCCACUCCUUUUGGAGUAUCCAUGGCUGAAUACAUAGGCCAUGCGAAGCGAACGCGGUGAACUGAAACAUCUAAGUAACCGCAGGAAAAGAAAUC
rnacentral:rRNA from 1 species